UGUUGGCGUACCUAUGGGGAUUCGAGCCUGGAAUCCACAGCGUACGAAAGUAACACGCUGCGUACUCAGCGGUCGGGGCAUAUUACACGUCCGUCGGGGGAAUUAACAGUGUGUAAGUAAUUGACCUGGGCUCUCACCGUUACUGUGAAACAGAAUAAGCGUAAGACAUGACGGGUCAAGAGUUCCUGAGCCCGAGAAGAUGAUUUUGGUGGGGGAGAGGAGAAACGCUUGUUACUGUUGUUAUUUUUUGGUGUUUUCAUUUUUUCCUUUUCUCAUAUGAAACUGAUUUAAAAUAUUUUUAAGAUUCACCUUACUUAAAAUUUUCUAUCAUCAUGUAUUCUCGAGGAUCCGUUGACUUUUAAGACGAUAAUAGUAAAGAACGAAACUCUUCGAAAAUGUUCGUAACGUAAUAACGUUUUAUUUCUGAUGCAUGAGAUGGUUAAAAAUUUUUUACUAUUAAUGAUCGUAUUAUAUUCGACUAACAUGUACAAGACUAUUGUGCACGAUUCAUUAGGGGGGUUACGAAGGGAGUUGAUUGUGGAUUUUCCUGUUUCAGUUCAUCCGCGCAAGACGGGCCCGUCGCUGCGUCAACGCCCAAGAAGAGGCUAGGAGGGAAGCCGAGAAGACGGUUUCGGACCGAGAGGAGGACGAGUCACCCGUCGUGGAAGGGGAGGCGACGGAACAAAUCCGAGUCCGAACGCACGACUACGUAGGUCUCCACCCCCAGCACGGACGGGAGUUGGCGAGUAGGCUCGGCCUCCGGGUGGAGGAAAGCCGCCUCCACGAUUACGCGACACAUCCAGAAGGGCGGCACGCGAUCGGGGCGAUGAUCGUGUUCUUCAGGAAGCCACAGGCGGAGCCUCUAAGAUUGCCAUCGUACGAGGAGUCCACGGCGCUGUUGGUAAGGGACGGCCGGACAGGGCGGGAGGUCUUCUCUGGACUAAAGGUGGAAAGCCCAAUCAAGAGCCGAUUUCCCUUCGAAGCGUACGAAGUCGCAGGCGACAGUCUGCACGCCGCAGUGGCGGACGUGGUGUCGACGGUGAACCGCUCCAUCCGGAGAUCAAAGAAGUUACGGGCCCUCCGGCUGUCUCUCUCUCCGGCCUGCCUGAACGGGGAGGACUCGGAUUUUUUUGUCGCGCCGCAUUUUUACACAACGCGCGCUCUCCCGGGAAGAAUCGUGGACAGUUUAGGUGGGAAAAUUAAAAGUUAGUACGUCACGGAAUCUUCAAACAACAAAAACAUUGUUAUUGUUUUAACAUCUAAUCCGACGGAUAACUGAGUAAUCGUUUCUUAGUUUCUUCAUUUAUUUUGAGAGGAAAGCUCUGUACUCAUAAAGGAUGCCUGUCAUUCUUAAUAUGUUGGAGCGCCUUCAAUUUCGUAUGAUACUGUGCAACACCUUUGUUGUGAAAUAGUUGCUUGAGGCGCCGUGGUGGCACGCUGCGGCGCGGCGGCGGGCGGGCGGCCAGAGCGCAUUGGCGCCUACAAACCUAAGGGGAUACUUCAAGUAUUGCGCAAUGCGUGAAGUAUCCCCUUAGGUUUGUAGGCGCUAAUGCGCGUUUUGCGCUGGCAGCACGCCGCCCCGCCACGCCGCUCUAUAUUAGGCUCUAAUAUUUAAACUCGCGAAGUCAGCGUUUUUCAACUCAUGAUUUUGAAAUGUUUGCACACUCUGUAUGAAUUAUUUUCAUUUAAAUUGAUGAAACAAAAAUUGGUAUUAAAGAAAAACAUAAUGUGUGUUUUGUAAAUAUCAAGGUGGUUCUGUGUCAAAUCCAAUGAUUUCCAAAGCACUGUGAUUUUUCUUUUGUAUUUUGUGCUUUUACUGUGCUGCAGCAAGGUGUACACCCGAAAAAACGCUCAAGAUUGGAGUUUUUGACUCGGAGAGAUCAAUGUACAAAUGGGUCAAAUCAAAACCAAAGAUUGAAUGCUUCUUGUUUUUUCCUCUUUUAUUCAUUUUUGUAUAGCUUUUUUCAACACAACUACGGCUCAUUGAGAUUAAUAUCGAUGCAAUCGCUUGGAAAGGUUUUACAAAUAUUUGUCAUGUUUUAAAAAUGUAAAUGUUUUUAAAAUGAAGUAAUAUUUUUAUUUUUUUUAAAAAAAAGGUAUACAACAAUAGUGGUAUACAUACGGUAUAUUUUAUAUCGAAAAUUUUAAGGAUUUUAAGGAAGAACUUUAGGCUACUUUUAAAGUGAGAGGAGUCUUAUUCAGUCAACAUCGGCAAAGAAUAGUUUCGAAUCAGUAAUUCACCAACCACGUAUCUCGGAAUUCAGUGUUGGACCUUAGUUCCACAAACACAUAACUCGGUUUUUCGGUCAUUUCUCCUGACAUACGGGAGUAUUAUUCAAAAUGAUGAUAAAGUCUUAUAAAGCAUCUAAUCCUUGCUGUCUCUAAGGAUUAAUUCCCCUCUACCUUCAAAGAUGAGGAAUGUGGAGGUUUCUCCCCUCUCCUGAAAAAUCGCGUUUUCCGAGUUAUGUGAUUGCCGACUUACACCGUCGAUAUGUGUGCGUGCGAGUGUGCGGCACGGCGCCAUGAAUGUGUUUUAGCCUGAGUUUCAUUUUGAGUCUUUCGCAAAGCUGUAUUAAAGGCCUGCGAGUAUAAGUUCGUUGCGAUACGUACAUGUGCAUUUUUGAGCCAGAAAUUGUAGUUCCUUAUUGCAAAAUAUGAUCCAGCGGGCUGAUGUUUGUAAUUGAUCGACAAAGCUAUAGACAAAGCUGACACACGGCGUAUGGAGCGAUCCUAUUGGUUGAGAUGGGUGGUUUUUGUGGACUUAGGGAGAAAAUCAUGGACUAACUAAAGGGUCUCUCGUGGAUUACCGUUGACUAGUCUAUUACCUACCUUCUUUGUUAAUUGCAACCACCCGCUUCCACGAAUUGGAUCCCUCCUUAUAUCCUUUCAAUCUUUUUGUCUAUAUCGCUUUGUCUACCAAUUCCAACAGUCAGCCCCUAUUCUAACCGCGGAGCAUCCUGUGCAUCGUCGCAGGCCCCGACGCUUUAUCGGAAAACGAGAACAAAUACGAAGUGACAAGGUGGUUGCAAAUUGAUGGUAAUCAAGGAGAUAGUAGGUUCUCGCCGGUCGUGAUACCCGCGACGGAAAUGCGAGGUUCCUGCGGUCAGCACAAAAGCCUUCGCUCCUUUC
rnacentral:lncRNA from 1 species